GAACCUUACCAGGUCUUGACAUCUUGCGCCAACCCUAGAGAUAGGGCGUUUCCUUCGGGAACGCAAUGACAGGUGGUGCAUGGUCGUCGUCAGCUCGUGUCGUGAGAUGUUGGGUUAAGUCCCGCAACGAGCGCAACCCUUGUUACUAGUUGCCAGCAUUAAGUUGGGCACUCUAGUGAGACUGCCGGUGACAAACCGGAGGAAGGUGGGGACGACGUCAGAUCAUCAUGCCCCUUAUGACCUGGGCUACACACGUGCUACAAUGGACGGUACAACGAGUCGCGAACUCGCGA
rnacentral:rRNA from 1 species